rnacentral:rRNA from 1 species
CGAGGGGCAGCAUGAUUUGUAGCAAUACAGAUUGAUGGCGACCGGCGCACGGGUGAGUAACGCGUAUGCAACUUACCUAUCAGAGGGGGAUAGCCCGGCGAAAGUCGGAUUAAUACCCCAUAAAACAGGGGUCCCGCAUGGGAAUAUUUGUUAAAGAUUCAUCGCUGAUAGAUAGGCAUGCGUUCCAUUAGGCAGUUGGCGGGGUAACGGCCCACCAAACCGACGAUGGAUAGGGGUUCUGAGAGGAAGGUCCCCCACAUUGGUACUGAGACACGGACCAAACUCCUACGGGAGGCAGCAGUGAGGAAUAUUGGUCAAUGGCCGAGAGGCUGAACCAGCCAAGUCGCGUGAAGGAAGAAGGAUCUAUGGUUUGUAAACUUCUUUUAUAGGGGAAUAAAGUGGAGGACGUGUCCUUUUUUGUAUGUACCCUAUGAAUAAGCAUCGGCUAACUCCGUGCCAGCAGCCGCGGUAAUACGGAGGAUGCGAGCGUUAUCCGGAUUUAUUGGGUUUAAAGGGUGCGUAGGUGGUGAUUUAAGUCAGCGGUGAAAGUUUGUGGCUCAACCAUAAAAUUGCCGUUGAAACUGGGUUACUUGAGUGUGUUUGAGGUAGGCGGAAUGCGUGGUGUAGCGGUGAAAUGCAUAGAUAUCACGCAGAACUCCGAUUGCGAAGGCAGCUUACUAAACCAUAACUGACAC